UCGGUUCAUAUUUGGAAUUAAGCAAAAUGCCAACAUGGGUUCUUUUGGGGUUGUCUAAUUUUAUAUUCCUUUUUAAGUUUGGGAGUGUAAAAGUUGGGUUUGGGGGAUUUUAAGAUUGCAAUAUUGUUUUGUUUAUCUUUUAAAAAAUUCUCAAUAUUUUGCUUGGGAUGAUGACAUUUUUGCAGUUUAUCUUUGGUGGUGAACCAUUGAUGAUGCCAAUAUAGCUAAUUCAGGAACUUGUUUUCUCUUAUAUAUUAUUGUGGGGAUACUCCAUGAAACAGAAAGACAACCAGAGUUUUACAGAUGACACCAAAACUUAUUUGCUAGGAAAUAAAAUGAAGAAACCCGAAAGCCGUAGAACUUAUCCAAGUAGAGAUACCAAUACGAUGCCAGGAAAUGAACUCUGGACUGAUGGACCAACUCCAAACCUGGUUCUAAACACCCAAAUAGAUAACAUAUCAAUGUGGAUAAUCAGUCAAGGGUGCAUGUGCCUUCAAAUGGUUUCCUGCUGAGACUUCUAUUCCAAAGCUAGAUAGGAACAAAGUAGUGGAGGCCGCAUCUGUAUCUGAGCAAAGAGCCAAUAUUAUUGCUUCUUUUGAUGACGAGAAAGGUAGUCCGGUUCAUCAGCCAAGACAACUUCAAACCUAUUGGGUGGGGCAGCAGCAGCUGCAGCUGUCAUUGGAGUGGAACCAGUACAGUAGCAGCUUCAUGAUCUGCUUAUGGUUCAAAUUGGUUCACAAGUGUUUACUUCAGAAACUUUUGGACAGUUAAGAAAGUGGAUUGAGUUACAGAACAUAUUUCUACUACUAAUGCUGCUGCAAGAACAUGAAGAGGAAACCAUCUUCUUUAAAAGGACAGUUGAAUUCAUGGAAGUUACUCAGA